GUGGGAAACCUGCCCAGAAGAGGGGGAUAACACCUGGAAACAGAUGCUAAUACCGCAUAACAACUUGGACCGCAUGGUCCGAGUUUGAAAGAUGGCUUCGGCUAUCACUUUUGGAUGGUCCCGCGGCGUAUUAGCUAGAUGGUGAGGUAACGGCUCACCAUGGCAAUGAUACGUAGCCGACCUGAGAGGGUAAUCGGCCACAUUGGGACUGAGACACGGCCCAAACUCCUACGGGAGGCAGCAGUAGGGAAUCUUCCACAAUGGACGAAAGUCUGAUGGAGCAACGCCGCGUGAGUGAAGAAGGGUUUCGGCUCGUAAAACUCUGUUGUUAAAGAAGAACAUAUCUGAGAGUAACUGUUCAGGUAUUGACGGUAUUUAACCAGAAAGCCACGGCUAACUACGUGCCAGCAGCCGCGGUAAUACGUAGGUGGCAAGCGUUGUCCGGAUUUAUUGGGCGUAAAGCGAGCGCAGGCGGUUUUUUAAGUCUGAUGUGAAAGCCUUCGGCUCAACCGAAGAAGUGCAUCGGAAACUGGGAAACUUGAGUGCAGAAGAGGACAGUGGAACUCCAUGUGUAGCGGUGAAAUGCGUAGAUAUAUGGAAGAACACCAGUGGCGAAGGCGGCUGUCUGGUCUGUAACUGACGCUGAGGCUCGAAAGUAUGGGUAGCAAACAGGAUUAGAUACCCUGGUAGUCCAUACCGUAAACGAUGAAUGCUAAGUGUUGGAGGGUUUCCGCCCUUCAGUGCUGCAGCUAACGCAUUAAGCAUUCCGCCUGGGGAGUACGGCCGCAAGGCUGAAACUCAAAGGAAUUGACGGGGGCCCGCACAAGCGGUGGAGCAUGUGGUUUAACUCGAAGCUACGCGAAGAACCUUACCAGGUCUUGACAUACUAUGCAAAUCUAAGAGAUUAGACGUUCCCUUCGGGGACAUGGAUACAGGUGGUGCAUGGUUGUCGUCAGCUCGUGUCGUGAGAUGUUGGGUUAAGUCCCGCAACGAGCGCAACCCUUAUUAUCAGUUGCCAGCAUUAAGUUGGGCACUCUGGUGAGACUGCCGGUGACAAACCGGAGGAAGGUGGGGAUGACGUCAAAUCAUCAUGCCCCUUAUGACCUGGGCUACACACGUGCUACAAUGGAUGGUACAACGAGUUGCGAACUCGCGAGAGUAAGCUAAUCUCUUAAAGCCAUUCUCAGUUCGGAUUGUAGGCUGCAACUCGCCUACAUGAAGUCGGAAUCGCUAGUAAUCGCGGAUCAGCAUGCCGCGGUGAAUACGUUCCCGGGCCUUGUACACACCGCCCGUCACACCAUGAGAGUUUGUAACACCCAAAGUCGGUGGGGUAACCUUUUAGGAACCAGCCGCCUAAGGUGGGACAGAUGAUUAGGGUGAAGUCGUAACAAGGU
rnacentral:rRNA from 1 species